UCAGUGAAAAAUUGGUUUGCUGCAGGAUACUAGCCGUUACUUCAGGGAAUUCCAGGGAGAUCCCCAAACAUGUCACAGGAUAUUUGCUCUACAGACCCAGCAUGUGUAAAUGAAAUUCCAUGUUGGGCAUGUCAGGCAGAACAGAAGACACUAGGAAAUGUCACAGCAGGUGCUGCAAACCCAGGAAAAGUAAUCAUAGUCCAGUCAGAAUGUUACUAAACAGCAGAACUGCCCAUUCUCUCAUGCUUAGUCAUGGAGAAGUGAACCCCUGACUUCAUGAGGUGACUCUACCUCUCAGUCACUCUAGGUUCUUGUCAUUCAUGGCAAAUGACCCUUUUCAAAAUGAUAGCCAGCAAGGAAGGUGAAAAGUUAGAACAGUGAACAAAUGCGGUUUGGGGUGGCGCCACCAGUGACUUCAGUGAUGCUAACCUGAGCAUCCAUGAGCUGGCAUCUCUGUUUCUUGUGUUGUGCAGUUCUUUCUGCCUAGACUAGGGAGAUGCUUUCUUCUGUGUAGUGUUGACUUAGUGCAAAGCUUCCACUUAACUGGGACAGAGUGAAGGAAAACAGCAACUACAGCAAAAAACAAAGGAACCAGCCAAAUCUCACUAGAGAAUAAAGAGACUAAAUCUCUCCGGUAAGACUGGAACACAGUUGCUAAGUUAAUACACAAGUGAAGCCUUUAGGUCUCCACAGACAUAUUACAAGUGGACAUAGUACAAUUCAGAGCACCAGCAAGAAUAGGGUACCCACCACGCCUGAACACCCAACAGGGGUGGCAGCACUGCCCUGCAUGUGUGCACUACUGUUCAUCUGUCGUCUAUGACUAUCUAGUCUUCUGAGGCAGACCCUAGAUACAGCUAGCACCAGGGUCAGUGCUGAGACACAGCAGAGUAGUUUUAGCCAAAUCCUUUUGGGCCUUACUUGGAACAGAUUUUGUCUAGACCGAUCAUAUUCAUGUGCUAUGUAGACUUGGUUUAGUCCACAGAAGUUUAAAAAAUAGUCUGAUUUUCAGGGGCUUAGAAUUUUUUUUUUAAAUAGAAGCAGUGGUGGCACACAUCUAUAAUCCCAGUACUUGGGAGGCUGAGGCAGGUGGAUCUUUGAAUCUGAGGCCAGCCAGGUCUACAGAGAGAGUUCCAGGACAGCCAGGACUAUACAGAGACCCUGUCUAGAGAAACAAACAAAUUAGAUUAGAUUUUCAGAAACAGUAUAGUGAGCAAGCAUAAGGGCCACUUGCUUAGUUUUGUUUUGUUUUAAGAGCAAAUCUGGGUACUUUAUGAAUCUAGAAGAGAGAGAAAUUAAUCUGUUAGGGAAACAUUGUGUGAGAGAUGGUGUCUGGCUCUUCAGGAAUAGAUAGGGUUUAACUCCUGGGUAUUUACCCCCAACCCCCAACCAAGUUCACGUGAUACACAGAGACACUCGCACAUCCAUGUGGGUGACAGUAGCUCAGCUGUGGCAUCAGCCUGGGUGUUCAGCAGCAGAGACCUGGGUAAGGAUGUGUGGUAUGUAUGCACAAUGGAACUUUUCCAUCUGAAAAGAACCGAGUUAUAGUGUUUGCAGGAAAAUUGUGCAAUUAGGAAUAAUCAUAUUAAGUGUCUCAGAAGAACAACUAUCAUAUGCUUUCUAUCUUUUGGUUCCUAGAAUUGUAUACAAAGUCAUAUAUACACCAUUAAAAUAGAAAUAAAAUUUUCUAGGGGAACAAAGGGACUUAUAGAUGUCCGCAUACAAUAUACACUGAAAUGGAAAACCUAAAGCAUAAAUUGUGUGGGGCAGUCAACAAGAUGACUCAGUGGGUAAAGGUGUCUGCUCCUUAUCCAUGGUCCUCGGAACACACAUGAAGGCUGGAGAGAGCCUACUCCUGUAGGUUGUCUUCUGUCUCUUAUAUGCAUGCUGUGACAUUUUCUCACACACAAGAACACACAGUAAAUGUUUUUAAAAAUACAUUUUAAAAGCUUGAUGUGGUGACACAUACCUUUAAUAUCAUCAGCCUUGGGAAGCAGAAACAGGUAGAUUCUGUGAGUUCUAUGGAACAGCCAGGGUUAUGUAGAAAGACCCUGUCUCAAAAAAAAAACAAAAUUAAUUGUAAG
rnacentral:lncRNA from 1 species